UCCUCCCUCUUUCUUCGUGCUUAACACAUGCAAGUCGAACGGAAAGGCCCUGCUUUUGUGGGGUGCUCGAGUGGCGAACGGGUGAGUAACACGUGAGUAACCUGCCCUUGACUUUGGGAUAACUUCAGGAAACUGGGGCUAAUACCGGAUAGGAGCUCCUGCUGCAUGGUGGGGGUUGGAAAGUUUCGGCGGUUGGGGAUGGACUCGCGGCUUAUCAGCUUGUUGGUGGGGUAGUGGCUUACCAAGGCUUUGCCGGGUAGCCGGCCUGAGAGGGUGACCGGCCACAUUGGGACUGAGAUACGGCCCAGACUCCUACGGGAGGCAGCAGUGGGGAAUAUUGCACAAUGGGCGGAAGCCUGAUGCAGCAACGCCGCGUGCGGGAUGACGGCCUUCGGGUUGUAAACCGCUUUCGCCUGUGACGAAGCGUGAGUGACGGUAAUGGGUAAAGAAGCACCGGCUAACUACGUG
rnacentral:rRNA from 1 species